rnacentral:rRNA from 1 species
GACGAACGCUGGCGGCGUGCUUAACACAUGCAAGUCGAGCGAUGAAGCCUAGCUUGCUAGGUGGAUUAGUGGCGAACGGGUGAGUAAUACGUGAGUAACCUACCUUUAACUCUGGGAUAAGCCUGGGAAACUGGGUCUAAUACCGGAUACGACCAAUCUCCGCAUGGGGUGUUGGUGGAAAGCGUUAUGUAGUGGUUAUAGAUGGGCUCACGGCCUAUCAGCUUGUUGGUGAGGUAACGGCUCACCAAGGCGACGACGGGUAGCCGGCCUGAGAGGGUGACCGGCCACACUGGGACUGAGACACGGCCCAGACUCCUACGGGAGGCAGCAGUGGGGAAUAUUGCACAAUGGGCGCAAGCCUGAUGCAGCGACGCCGCGUGAGGGAUGACGGCCUUCGGGUUGUAAACCUCUGUUAGCAGGGAAGAAGAGAGAUUGACGGUACCUGCAGAGAAAGCGCCGGCUAACUACGUGCCAGCAGCCGCGGUAAUACGUAGGGCGCGAGCGUUGUCCGGAAUUAUUGGGCGUAAAGAGCUUGUAGGCGGUUUGUCGCGUCUGCUGUGAAAGGCCGGAGCUUAACUCCGUGUAUUGCAGUGGGUACGGGCAGACUAGAGUGCAGUAGGGGAGACUGGAAUUCCUGGUGUAGCGGUGGAAUGCGCAGAUAUCAGGAGGAACACCGAUGGCGAAGGCAGGUCUCUGGGCUGUAACUGACGCUGAGAAGCGAAAGCAUGGGGAGCGAACAGGAUUAGAUACCCUGGUAGUCCAUGCCGUAAACGUUGGGCACUAGGUGUGGGGGACAUUCCACGUUUUCCGCGCCGUAGCUAACGCAUUAAGUGCCCCGCCUGGGGAGUACGGCCGCAAGGCUAAAACUCAAAGAAAUUGACGGGGGCCCGCACAAGCGGCGGAGCAUGCGGAUUAAUUCGAUGCAACGCGAAGAACCUUACCAAGGCUUGACAUAUACUGGACCGCAUCAGAGAUGGUGUUUCCCUUCGGGGCUGGUAUACAGGUGGUGCAUGGUUGUCGUCAGCUCGUGUCGUGAGAUGUUGGGUUAAGUCCCGCAACGAGCGCAACCCUCGUUCUAUGUUGCCAGCACGUAAUGGUAGGACUCAUAGGAGACUGCCGGGGUCAACUCGGAGGAAGGUGGGGAUGACGUCAAAUCAUCAUGCCCCUUAUGUCUUGGGCUUCACGCAUGCUACAAUGGCCGGUACAGAGGGUUGCGAUACUGUGAGGUGGAGCUAAUCCCUAAAAGCCGGUCUCAGUUCGGAUUGGGGUCUGCAACUCGACCCCAUGAAGUCGGAGUCGCUAGUAAUCGCAGAUCAGCAACGCUGCGGUGAAUACGUUCCCGGGCCU